UUAUUGGAUUUAGGAAUACUAUGCUAGCACAUGGUUAAAUCCAAAUCCUCUUUAGACUUGACUUCCUAUGAGAUGAAGAUUGGAUCAAGUCAAUUGCAUGCAAUGUGGGCAGCCAAGAGUUGGUUUUCCAUUAUAAUUAAAGUUAGAAGAAAUUGGACUCACAUCCAAAUUGGAUUGGAUCCAUAAGACACCAAUUGUUAGCGCCCCCUUGACCUUAUGCGAU
rnacentral:lncRNA from 1 species